GUUCUGUUAACCCAUCCCCUCA
rnacentral:miRNA from 1 species